CAGAGAAAAAACCCUCGCCCAAACAUAAAGAAAGGGAGAAAAAAAAAAAAAGACGAUGAGCUACACCAGAGAUAAGGAAAAAAAAAAUGAACUACAUCCAUGCCUCAAGGGACCUUGUCUCAACGAGGAAGAAAACCCUUGUCAAAAAUCUUCAAGGGAGCUCAACACUGGCAGAAGAAAAUAGACUUUCUCAAAGUAAUGAGAAGUUCGGGCCCC
rnacentral:lncRNA from 1 species